GGGCUUGUAACUCAGGGGUAGAGUGCUCGCUUUGCAGGACGUCGUCGUCUACAAGCAUGCGAGAAGUCCGGCGUUCAAAUCGCCGCUGGUCCA